CCUACGGGAGGCUGCAGUGAGGAAUAUUGGUCAAUGGAGGCAACUCUGACCCAGCAACGCCGCGUGAAUGAUGAAGGUCUUCUGAUUGGAAAGUCCUGUGAUGAGGGAUGAACACAAUGACGGUAGCCCAAUAGCAAGCCACGGCUAACUACGAGCCAGCAGCCGCGGUAAUACGGAGGUGGCAAGCGUUAUCCGGAAUGACUGGGCAUACAGGGUGCGUAGGUGGUUUAGUAAGUGAGCGGUGAAAUUCCGGGGCUCAACCUCGGCUUUACCGCUAAAACUAUUAGACUAGAGUGUAGGGGGGGUAAGUGGAAUUCGUGGUGUAGCGGUGGAAUGCGUAGAUAUUAGGCGGAACAUCAGGGGCGAAGGCGACUUACUGAACUAUAACUGACACUGAGGCACGAAAGCGUGGGGAGCAAACAGGAUUAGAUACCCUGGUAGUC
rnacentral:rRNA from 1 species